GCUAGUGAAGAAUCAAGGGGAAGUAAAUAGACUGAGAAGAAGAAGAAGAAGAAGAAGAAGAGGAAGAGGGGAAAAAAGGCAAGAGACAAAGACUUCACCCCAUCUCCCUCUUCCUCACCCUCAUUCCCUCCUCUGCCAACGACUUUUACCUCACAAACAGCGGAGGGACCAACUUCAAAAGGCGGCCAGGAGGGAGCUGGAGUGUGAAAUCUGAGAGGAGCAGCAAGAUGAGAGGCUGACCGGCGCUGUGUUUGCUCUGCUGUCCAGGAGCAGCCGGGACAUCAGACCAGAACCCGACCAUGACACUGGCCGUCCAUCUCCGUGAUCGGGGACGACUCCACCUUUUUGAGGGACACACCGAAGAUAAGG